rnacentral:lncRNA from 10 species
CUAGAGAUACAAAAAUCAGCCAGUGUGGUGGCCCAGGCCUCUAAUCCCAGCUACUCGGGAGGCCCAGGCAGGAGACUUGCUUGAACCUGGGCGGCGGAGGUUGCAGUGAGCCGAGAUCGCACUGCUGCACUCCAGCCUGGGUGCCAGAGCAAGACUCUGUCUCAAUAAAAAAAAAAAAGAUAGUAGUUACAUUAUUUUCCCCAUUUUUAGACAAGGAAACUGAAGCAUAAAGAGCAUAAGUUGCUAGUGUCAUUCAGUGAGAAAGGCAUGGAGCUGGGAUUUGGCCCUAGGCAGUCAAACUCCAGACCGUAGGGCCUGUACUCUUAAUCAUACUCUCCCUCAUUACAGUAAGGAUAAGGAUGCUUCUGUUUUCUGUGGGAUGUGUUUUUUGUGUACUAUCAACAAUUUUUCCUCUGUAGGAAAUUGCCAGUGCUCUGGAUGCAAAUGGAUUUUUCCUUAGGAAUUCAGAGUUGCUGAGUUUUGCAUCAAGACUGAAAGAGGCCAAAAAGAGAAGCUGUGUGGUAAGCAGGGGCAGUUAACCAAUCCCUGGGGUACAUGUAAGCAUUUUGAAAAAGAUUAACUGUGAGUCAACAUUGCAGUAAAUUUAGUUAUAAAAUCAUGAUUAUGUAUGCAAAUAUGUGUCAACAGGUAGGACUGUGUGAUGACUCAUCCUACUCAAAAUUCUCUAGACUCGGUUUGUGCAAUAUUGGAUUCUACAAUGCUGAGCAAGGGAAGAAAAGUGUUUAAAGGAGAGCCACAAAUAAGAAUAUAUAGGUUGAAUAUAAACUUUAUAGAGCCUGAAUAGAUUGGAAUGGAAUAGAUGGAGGCUUCACACUCCUUCCCACAUGCAUUGUCCUAUGCAUCUCUUCAUCUGGUGUUCAUCGGUAUCCUUUGUAAUAUCCUUUAUAAUAAGCUAGUAAAUGUGAGUACAGUCAUGUGUCACUUAAUGAAGGAGAUACAUUUUGAGAACUGUGUUGUCACCAGGCGUGGUGGCUCUUGCCUGUAAUCUCAACACUUUGGCAGGCUGUGGUGAGAGACUUGCUUGAGCCCAGGAGUUUGAGACCAGCCUAGGCAAAAUAGUGAGACUCCAUCUCUAUAAUAAAUAAAUAAAAAUAAAAAAGACGAUUGCACUGUUAGGCAAUUUUGUUAUUGUGCAAACAUCUUAAGAGUGUCCUUCCACAUAGCUAGAGGGUAUAGCCUACUACACACAUAGGCUAUAUGGUAUAUCCUGUUGUCUAGGCUGCAAGCCUGUACAGCAUGUUCCUGUACUGAAUACUGUAGGGAAUUGUAACACAAUGGCAAGUGCAGUUAACAAUGGAACAACUAGAGGAUUAGGGGUUUGACACCCACACAGUCAAAAAUCCAUGUAUAACUUUUGACUUCCCCAAAACUUUACUAAUAGCCUCCUGCUAACUGGAAGACUUACCAGUAACAUAAACAGUUGAUUAACACAUUUAUUAUAUACUGUCUUCUUAUAAUAAAGCUAGAGAAAGUAAAAUAUUAAGAAAAUCCUAAGGAAAACAUAUUUACCGUACUGUACUGUAAUUAUCAAUACUGUAAAUUUAGGGUUAGUUAAAUGCCCCUCCAUUUCCAAAAUGAGUCAGCUGUCUGAAAUGGCAGGCAACUGCAGCUACAGACCUCAAUCAAAGUACUUAUCAAGCAAUUCAACUUUUUCUCGUAGUGUCAUUUUUUUCUCUGCUUCUUGGGAGCAUUUCUAGCAUCACUGGUGGCACUUUGUAUGGGGCUCAUGGUGUUAUUCAAGGUUUAGGGUAUUGCAUUAAACAUGAUGAAAAACGCGAGAAGUGUGAGAGAUCACUUUUUACUGCAAUACGCAAUUUACUAGAGCCAAGAACUGCUUGUGUGGAGAUGAUUAGCUCACAGGGUGUUUUAUGUGGAUACUCUCAACCCUUGAGUUCUGCUGUAAUAGCAACAGGAGGUGGUUACAAACUUAUUUCAGUGGAACAGUAGGUACUACAGUUAAUUUUACGCAGUUGUUUGUUUUAAUUAGUUAAUUAGACAAUUUUUGUUCUUUCCAUAGCUUUAGUGGUACAAGUGGUUUUUUGUUACAUGGAAGAAUUGUAUCCUGGUGAAAUCUGGACUUUUAGUAUAGCCAUCACCUGAAGAGCACACAUUGUACCCACUAGCUAAUUUUUCAUCAGUUACGGUUUAACAGUGCAUUUUUAGAUUUUUAAAUAUUUAUCUAGACUGCAAAUGGUACAAUGUAUGGUGUGUGUUUGUGUGUAUAGGUUUUGAUAAAUUUUAACUUUUUUAAAUAGAUUUAUGUAUGGUAGUAAAUGAUAGACUAGUAUCUACAUGUAUUUUAUGUACUCUUCACAUACCUUUAUUUUUUUUGAUAUUUCUAGUCUAUGAGGUUCAUCUGGUUUUUCAAAUUGUUGCAAAUCUCCAAAAAAUUUUCCAAUACAUUUAUUGAAAAAAAAUCCAUGUAUAAAUGGACCCACACAGUUCAAACCCAAGUUGUUCAAGGAUUGACUAUUUGUCUAUCUAAACAUACCUAAACAUAGAAAAGGUACAGUAAAAAUACAGUAUUAUAAUCUUAUGGGAUCACCAUUGUCUAUGCAGGCUGACAUUGAAAUGUCAUUAUGUACAGCAUGACUGUAUAGUGUUUCCGAGUUCUGUGAGCCUCUCUAGCAAACUAAUGGAGCUCAAGAAGGGGUUAUGGGAACCCUAACUUAUAGCUAGUUGGUUAGGACCCUUGGUCACCAUCUGGGGCUUCUGAUUGUCAUCUGAAGUGGGAGCCAUCUUGUGGCACUGAGCCUUCAACCUAUGGUAUCUGAUGCUAUCUCCAGGUAGUGUAAGAAGUGAAUUGAAUUAGAGGACACCCAGCUGGUGUCUGCUGCAAAAUUGCUUAUUUGCUUAAUGCGUGGGGAACCCCCCUCCACACACAUCUGGAGUCAGAAGGGUGUUGUGAGAUUAAAGUGGGAGAAACUGAAUUUGUUUAUUCCUAUAUUCAGAAUGGGGUCCUUGAGAACAUCAUAGUGGUAAGCAUAGAUGUUCUAAAGUCAGACUGCCUGGGUUCAUCUCUCUGCUCCACCACUUCGAGAGUUACUUUAGCUCACUGUGCUUCAGUUUCCUAUUAAGUUGGGAUAAUAAUACCAUCUCAUAGAGUAACUUAAGAAUUAAAUCAGUUAAUAUACAUAAAGCACUUGGAAGUGUUUGAAGCAUUAAUAAACACUCAAUAGCUAAUAAAAAAUAGAAAAGGGUGAGGAACAACUUAAUACAUAUUCAAAUAUAUAUUAUAGAUCUUUUCCAUAUUUGUUGUAGGGAAAAUAAGAGGAAGUGUAUUUAAGCUCUGAGAGAUCUGGAUUUUAUCAAAUUAAAAAAAAAGAGGGACUAGAUAAAACAUUUACCCAUUAAGAAACAUAAUUAACUACUCAGGGUGAAUAUUUCUAUAGAGGGCUGUAUAGCAUGCAGUAGAUUCUGUAAUUGAGUUUAGCCUAAGAAUGGUAUUCUCUAAAAGUGGGAAAACAAUCCCUAGAAAAUCAAGUUUGAUCUAGUACAUGGCCACCUACCACCUCACUUGCCCAAGAAACAUACUGAAAACUAAAGCUUGGUGUUCUAUUGAGGGAAUUACAGCAAAUUAACAAGUGCUGAUGUAUGUUAAAAUAGUACCCGAAGUUUUGACAACUAUCUUCCUGGUUUAGCCUAGAGAAACAGAAGCAAUGGGAAGAAAUCACAUUUGUAGUAGACCCAUGACCAGGACUCAGAUUUUAAAACUUAAAAUGUUUCCAUUACCUUGAAUUUCCCUUCGUUGGGUUUUUUAAAAAGCUAAAAUGAAAUGCCAUUAAUGACAUAGCAUGGCAUUACAUAUAGAAGGUCUUUAUAUAGUUGAAGAAGUAUUCAGUUGUCCUUUAACAUAUCAGCCCACUUCUUGGCCUGACCUCAGGACACAGCCCUACCACAACCCAAACUCCUGGUCCCUGUUAAAAGGGUGACCUAGGAAGCUAUGCUUUAUCAUAUAUUCUUCUCAGGAAUCCUUCAUACACUGAAUUGAGCCAUUAAUGUCAUCUUUUUGGCAUUUAAGUCACAAAGGGGAAGUUGCUAAUUGGGUAGCAGCAAUAGAGAGACAGAGGGAAUGGCUGCUGGUCUCCAAAUGAAAACAGUCUUCACAGUUCCUGUAUUUUCCUUUUCCUGGAGUCUGAGAUGUAUAUUCUUGCAAUCUUCACCCCAGCCCUCUUUUGCUCAUUUCCUGGUUGGACAGGGUUUUUAUUCUCUACAAUCAAUUUCUGACCAAAUAUGUGUGGCUCUACUUCAAACUAAAAGUCAACAUAUUGACAUGCAGAGAUAGGAAUUUAGUCUAUCACUUUAUGCUUAGUAUCUGGGGAGAAGAUAUAUGAGCUAAACAGAAGAAAGAGAAAUUUUCAGCACUUCUACAGUCAAUCAAAUCUGGUCAGUUCUAAUUCUCGAAUAUUUUUCUUAUCCAUCUUGUUCGUACAUCCAUAGCCAUCUUUUAUCUGAAUUAUAAUACCCUCUUAGGCAACAGAAAAAGAUGGAAGAAUACUUGCUAGCUAUUUUUAGAAAAUGCAAAUGCCAAAUAUCACUGUGGAAAGACCUCACAGCUUCCCAGUCUUUUCCCUUGAUAUUCCACCUUUCCCUUGAGGACCUGUAAUGAUCACUGUCUCUAUCAGAGAAGUGCAUUUCCCUUCCACGGCGUAGAUUGGUCCUCUUUGUUUUUCCUUAUUCAUAGCAUUGCUAAACCCAGAUGAGUUAUAUACAACUUUUAGAUAGGGCUUAGGCGUAAUGGGGGAUGGGGGUGGGGAAAGCAAAUAAAACACUAAGAUGCAACUUACCUAGCUAUAAUUAGGUAUGGCUUGCUCUUUUUAUUCAAUAAAUAUUUGAGCAUUCUGUGAUUGCCACGGUGCAUAUAUUGAUGACACAUCACUGCUUGCAAGAUGCAUGUGGUAGCAGGGGUAUGCUAAUGCUGCCACAGGGUAAUAAAGGAUAAAUCAGAGUGUGGAGCACCUCAGUCACUUUAAAAUGCGCAGGAAAGUCUGUGUUCUCUCCUUUUAUCUGGAAGAUUCACCAGUCAUUUGAGCCCUUUGAAGUGACUCAUUCAACCCCCAAAAUGGUUUGGCUGGACACUACCCAGUUUUGGAUAAAAGGACAGGAGCUGGCUUCAGCUAGCAGUUUGCAGAGGUUUUCUUUCAUCAGGGGUAUCAUUGGUUAUCUUGUAAUGCUUGCGAUGAAUUUUUCCAGCCUCUAAUUCACCCAACCCAGGAACUCCUCACGCUGCUGGGUUUUGUAACAAUAAAGGUCUUAUUGUUUAAGCUACCAAAAAAAGAAAAAGAAAAAAGAAAGAAAGAAAGAAAGAAAGAAAAAAAACAGGAGGCACCUAAAAUAGUAUCUGGGGGAAGGGAAUUAUGAAAGAUUUCACUGAAGUGCUGCCCUAAGAAAACGAAGACUUUAAGGACAAAUAAAAAUUAGCAGAACAUGAGAUUGGAGAAAGCGAGAGGGCAGGAAAUGAAGUAUUCCAAGAGUCUAAGAAUGUGCAAAAGACAAGUGAAUGAUGUGUUUAGGAAAUUGCAAGUAGUUCAUUAUGUCUGGGGUGUAGAGUACAAAGGGGUUCUUCUGUUUAUGCUCAGGUGACAGGAACUAGUUUCUCUACCACCCACAAGGGUCCUUAAACACACAAGGAAUUCUCAGAAUCCAGGCUCAGGAACCCCAUCUUUGGUGGUUAAUGCCAAUAAAAUCCUCUUCCUUAGGGAAAAACACUAUCCUCUUAUACCACAAAAUUUUACUACAUGAUCUUGAUAAGGACAAAAUAGCAGAAUAAUGCAUUAUCUUUACGUAUUUAAUGUAACUGCUUGUUUACACUGCCAAAAGAAAGGCUACUUUCCAUAAACUUGAGAUCAUAGGGAAACUGGAUAUUAUACUUUUAGCUUAGGCGUUAACUAAUGGUACAAAGUAUGUAAACCCCUAUCACUUCUAAAUGGCAGUUCACUGAAUGAAAAUCAGUUUACUUCCAAUUUUUGUUUUGAGGAUUAGAGGUUUAGAAAACAUCUUUAAAUAUUAAAAAGUCAUUAAAACAAGGGAAGCAAAUUAAGUUUCAAAUUAAGUUACUGUGGUUUUCCUGGGCCACUGUUGUCAGCCAGUUACAAUGUGCUCCAUUUCUCUAGACCCUAGCUCCUAUUCUGAAGCUGGUAUCUUACUUAAAUUUUCCUUUCUAGGCCAGGCUCCGCGGCUCAUGCCUGUAAUCCCAGCACUUUGGGAGGCCAAGGCAGGUGGAUCACCUGAGGUCAGGAGUUCAAGACCAGCCUGGCCAACAUGGUGAAACUCCGUCUCUACUAAAAAUACAAAAAAUUAGCCGGGCAUGGUGGUGUGAACCUGUAAUCCCAGCUACUCGGGAGGCUGAGGCAGAAGAAUCACUUGAACAUGGGAGGCGGAGGUUGCAGUGAGCCGAGAUUGCGCCACUGCACUCCAGCCUGGGCAAGAGUGAGAUUGUCUCAAAAAUAAAAAAAAUAAAAAAUAAAAAAAAUAAAAAAUAAAUUUUCCCUUCUAAAAGGAUCACAGUAACAUGAAUAGCAAAUAGAACAUUUUAGGCAGCAAUUAUCUAAAACGUGGAUGCUCUUGAGCAUGCAUUCUCAAUGGGGGUGAAAAUUGGUUCAUUGGGGACAAAAAAAAAUUCUAUUUUGUAUAAAGCAAAAAACAUUUACAGUCCAUAAACAGAUACAUAGUAUAUAUCUGGUGUUGAAAUAUCAUGGGGAAGGGGUGACUAAGAAAAAAAUCUAAAAAAGUUCUUCAGGGAGGGCACUCCAUAAAAUGUAUCACGUGCAUAGUAAAUCUUUAUAUUUGCUAUGGCGUUGCACUAGAGGACUUGGACUGCAACAAGUGGAUGCGCGGAAAAUGAAAUCUUCUUCAAUAGCCCAGGACAGCUGGUUAACAAAUGGUUUGUCAAUUCCUGAAACUCAUUUCUUAAUUCAAAACAAAAGCUUCAGGGUGUGUCCAAAAUAAACUGUUACGAAUUGACCUACUUUUUUUUUUUUGAGACGGAGUUUCAUUUUUGUUGCCCAGACUGG